rnacentral:rRNA from 1 species
AUACGGAGGGUGCAAGCGUUACUCGGAAUCACUGGGCGUAAAGCGCGUGCAGGCGGCCAUUUAAGUUGGAUGUGAAAGCCUACGGCUCAACCGUAGAACUGCAUCCAAAACUAUUUGGCUAGAGUGUGGGAGAGGAAGAUGGAAUUAGUUGUGUAGGGGUAAAAUCCGUAGAGAUAACUAGGAAUACCAAAAGCGAAGGCAAUCUUCUGGAACAUUACUGACGCUGAGGCGCGAAAGCGUGGGGAGCAAACAGGAUUAGAUACCCCAGUAGUCC